UUUGAACCAGUCGUUGUAAGUUCCGCAAGGAUUAAUAGAGAAACCGGUGUAAGUCCGGUACGAUCCCGUCACUGUAAGAGGGAGCUUCGGAAUGAAAAAUGUCACUGGGCCAUGUGAUUUUAAAGUUGGUCCGGGAAGGCGAUUUCGAAGUGAUGAACUUAAGUCAGGAGAACUGCUUGCAAUUGGGAUAGGAAU
rnacentral:ncRNA from 18 species